GUGGGGAAUAUUGGACAAUGGGCGCAAGCCUGAUCCAGCAAUGCCGCGUGCAGGAAGAAGGCCUUCGGGUUGUAAACUGCUUUUGUACGGAACGAAACGGUCCUGGUUAAUACCUGGGGCUAAUGACGGUACCGUAAGAAUAAGCACCGGCUAACUACGUGCCAGCAGCCGCGGUAAUACGUAGGGUGCGAGCGUUAAUCGGAAUUACUGGGCGUAAAGCGUGCGCAGGCGGUGCUGUAAGACAGGCGUGAAAUCCCCGGGCUCAACCUGGGAACUGCAUUGGUGACUGCAAGGCUGGAGUGCGGCAGAGGGGGAUGGAAUUCCGCGUGUAGCAGUGAAAUGCGUAGAUAUGCGGAGGAACACCGAUGGCGAAGGCAAUCCCCUGGGCCUGCACUGACGCUCAUGCACGAAAGCGUGGGGAGCAAACAGGAUUAGAAACCCCGGUAGUCC
rnacentral:rRNA from 1 species